GGAACAACUCUCCCACCCUCUUCAACAGAUCGUAGUAAAAAGUUUUUGGCGCAAAGCUUAUGAUUAAACGCUUUCCAGCUAGGGAUGCAAGGUGCGCAAUCAUUCCGUCUGCUUUGUUCUGGGGGUAGUGUAUCAAAACAUCCAGACAUACCACCGUGUCGUAUUGCCCUUCCAAGCUCUCCAAAUCUUUCACUUCAAAUUUUGGCAUCACCCCUUCCACAAUCUCUUCUUUUGCCUUGUUUUGGGCCUCCGCGACCAUAGCAGCAGAAAUAUCGCUAGCGAAGACGAUGGCACCUUCCUUCGCCAGCGGAAUGGAUAAGCUACCGGUUCCACAGCCGGCAUCGCAGACUGUUACUCCUGUGAGUGGGCCCUCAUCUUUCAACAUCGCCAUCACAUUCUCCACCGUCUUGGAGUGACCCAACCUAAUGUCUCGCUGCACCCGGUUCACAUCAUCCGUCUCUCCGUAUAUUUUCUUCCACCUCUGAAACCCCGA
rnacentral:misc_RNA from 1 species